rnacentral:misc_RNA from 1 species
GAAAUGCGAUACGCAAUGCGAAUUGCAGAAUUCCUUGAAUCAUCAGAUUUUCGAACGCAACCCGCACUAACACUUCGGUGAUUAGUAUGUUUGUUUCAGUAUCUGGAAUAUCAAAAAUCUCAAUAUGAUUGACAAAACUAACUUCGGUUAACAGCGUCUUUCAUCAAAUUAGAAUAAGCUUUUAUUUCUGACCAAUGAAGCAGUCACAUUCACAUGUGAUUUCAUUGAGAAAGACUUAAUGAGUUUAUAGACAAUAAACUUUCUACCUUUUGUAUCUGAAAUCAAGCAAGAUAACCCGCUGAACUUAA